rnacentral:rRNA from 1 species
AGCCAACAGGAUUAGGUACCCUGUUAGUUCACCCGGUAAACGAUGAUUACUAGGUGUUGGACGAUUGACCCCUUCAGUGCCGCAGUUAACACAAUAAGUAAUCCACCUGGGGAGUACGACCGCAAGGUUGAAACUCAAAGGAAUUGACGGGGGCCCGCACAAGCAGUGGAGUAUGUGGUUUAAUUCGACGCAACGCGAAGAACCUUACCAAGUCUUGACAUCCCUUGACAGGCAUAGAAAUAUGUUUUCUCUUCGGAGCAAGGAGACAGGUGGUGCAUGGUUGUCGUCAGCUCGUGUCGUGAGAUGUUGGGUUAAGUCCCGCAACGAGCGCAACCCUUAUGGUCAGUUACUACGCAAGAGGACUCUGGCCAGACUGCCGUUGACAAAACGGAGGAAGGUGGGGAUGACGUCAAAUCAUCAUGCCCUUUAUGACUUGGGCUACACACGUACUACAAUGGCGUUAAACAAAGAGAAGCAAGACCGCGAGGUGGAGCAAAACUCAGAAACAACGUCCCAGUUCGGACUGCAGGCUGCAACUCGCCUGCACGAAGUCGGAAUUGCUAGUAAUCGUGGAUCAGCAUGCCACGGUGAAUACGUUCCCGGGCCUUGUACACACCGCCCGUCACACCAUGAGAGCCGGGGGGACCCGAAGUCGGUAGUCUAACCGCAAGGAGGACGCCGCCGAAGGUAAAACUGGUGAUUGGGGUGAAGUCGUAACAAGGUAGCCGUAGGAGAACCUGCGGCUG